rnacentral:rRNA from 1 species
CCUACGGGAGGCAGCAGUGGGGAAUCUUGGACAAUGGGCGCAAGCCUGAUCCAGCCAUGCCGCGUGAGUGAUGAAGGCCUUAGGGUCGUAAAGCUCUUUCGCCAGAGAUGAUAAUGACAGUAUCUGGUAAAGAAACCCCGGCUAACUCCGUGCCAGCAGCCGCGGUAAUACGGAGGGGGUUAGCGUUGUUCGGAAUUACUGGGCGUAAAGCGCGCGUAGGCGGACCAGAAAGUUAGGGGUGAAAUCCCGGGGCUCAACCCCGGAACUGCCUCUAAAACUCCUGAUCUAGAGUUCGAGAGAGGUGAGUGGAAUUCCGAGUGUAGAGGUGAAAUUCGUAGAUAUUCGGAGGAACACCAGUGGCGAAGGCGGCUCACUGGCUCGAUACUGACGCUGAGGUGCGAAAGUGUGGGGAGCAAACAGGAUUAGAUACCCUGGUAGUCCACACCGUAAACGAUGAAUGCCAGUCGUCGGGUAGCAUGCUAUUCGGUGACACACCUAACGGAUUAAGCAUUCCGCCUGGGGAGUACGGUCGCAAGAUUAAAACUCAAAGGAAUUGACGGGG